rnacentral:rRNA from 1 species
GGGUUGUGAGGUUAAGCGACUAAGCGUACACGGUGGAUGCCCUGGCAGUCAGAGGCGAUGAAGGACGUGCUAAUCUGCGAAAAGCGCCGGCGAGGUGAUAUGAACCCUUGACCCGGCGAUGUCCGAAUGGGGAAACCCAGUGCAAUCCGUUGCACUAUCGUUAACUGAAUACAUAGGUUAACGAGGCGAACCGGGGGAACUGAAACAUCUAAGUACCCCGAGGAAAAGAAAUCAACCGAGAUUCCCCCAGUAGCGGCGAGCGAACGGGGAGCAGCCCGGAGUCUGAAUCAGCUUGUGUGUUAGUGGAACGGUCUGGAAAGUCCGACGGUACAGGGUGAUAGUCCCGUACACGAAAGCACACAUGCUGUGAACUCGAAGAGUAGGGCGGGACACGUGGUAUCCUGUCUGAAUAUGGGGGGACCAUCCUCCAAGGCUAAAUACUCCUGACUGACCGAUAGUGAACCAGUACCGUGAGGGAAAGGCGAAAAGAACCCCGGCGAGGGGAGUGAAAAAGAACCUGAAACCGUGUACGUACAAGCAGUGGGAGCCUCUUUAUGGGGUGACUGCGUACCUUUUGUAUAAUGGGUCAGCGACUUAUAUUCUGUAGCAAGGUUAACCGUAUAGGGGAGCCGAAGGGAAACCGAGUCUUAACUGGGCGUUAAGUUGCAGGGUAUAGACCCGAAACCCGGUGAUCUAGCCAUGGGCAGGUUGAAGGUUGGGUAACACUAACUGGAGGACCGAACCGACUAAUGUUGAAAAAUUAGCGGAUGACCUGUGGCUGGGGGUGAAAGGCCAAUCAAACCGGGAGAUAGCUGGUUCUCCCCGAAAGCUAUUUAGGUAGCGCCUCGUGAACUCAUCUUCGGGGGUAGAGCACUGUUUCGGCUAGGGGGCCAUCCCGGCUUACCAACCCGAUGCAAACUACGAAUACCGAAGAAUGUUAUCACGGGAGACACACGGCGGGUGCUAACGUCCGUCGUGAAGAGGGAAACAACCCAGACCGCCAGCUAAGGUCCCAAAGUCAUGGUUAAGUGGGAAACGAUGUGGGAAGGCACAGACAGCCAGGAUGUUGGCUUAGAAGCAGCCAUCAUUUAAAGAAAGCGUAAUAGCUCACUGGUCGAGUCGGCCUGCGCGGAAGAUGUAACGGGGCUAAACCAUGCACCGAAGCUGCGGCAGCGACACUAUGUGUUGUUGGGUAGGGGAGCGUUCUGUAAGCCGUUGAAGGUGUGCUGUGAGGCAUGCUGGAGGUAUCAGAAGUGCGAAUGCUGACAUAAGUAACGAUAAAGCGGGUGAAAAGCCCGCUCGCCGGAAGACCAAGGGUUCCUGUCCAACGUUAAUCGGGGCAGGGUGAGUCGACCCCUAAGGCGAGGCCGAAAGGCGUAGUCGAUGGGAAACAGGUUAAUAUUCCUGUACUUGGUGUUACUGCGAAGGGGGGACGGAGAAGGCUAUGUCAGCCGGGCGACGGUUGUCCCGGUUUAAGCAUGUAGGCGGAGGUUCCAGGUAAAUCCGGUACCUUAUUAACGCUGAGGUGUGAUGACGAGGCACUACGGUGCUGAAGUGAUAAAUGCCCUGCUUCCAGGAAAAGCCUCUAAGCAUCAGGUAACACGAAAUCGUACCCCAAACCGACACAGGUGGUCAGGUAGAGAAUACCAAGGCGCUUGAGAGAACUCGGGUGAAGGAACUAGGCAAAAUGGUGCCGUAACUUCGGGAGAAGGCACGCUGAUGUGUAGGUGAAGCCCCUGCGGGUGGAGCUGAAAUCAGUCGAAGAUACCAGCUGGCUGCAACUGUUUAUUAAAAACACAGCACUGUGCAAACACGAAAGUGGACGUAUACGGUGUGACGCCUGCCCGGUGCCGGAAGGUUAAUUGAUGGGGUUAGCGGCAACGCGAAGCUCUUGAUCGAAGCCCCGGUAAACGGCGGCCGUAACUAUAACGGUCCUAAGGUAGCGAAAUUCCUUGUCGGGUAAGUUCCGACCUGCACGAAUGGCGUAAUGAUGGCCAGGCUGUCUCCACCCGAGACUCAGUGAAAUUGAACUCGCUGUGAAGAUGCAGUGUACCCGCGGCAAGACGGAAAGACCCCGUGAACCUUUACUAUAGCUUGACACUGAACACUGGUCCUUGAUGUGUAGGAUAGGUGGGAGGCUUUGAAGCGUGGACGCCAGUCUGCGUGGAGCCAACCUUGAAAUACCACCCUUUAAUGGCUGGUGUUCUAACGUAGACCCGUAAUCCGGGUUGCGGACAGUGUCUGGUGGGUAGUUUGACUGGGGCGGUCUCCUCCCAAAGAGUAACGGAGGAGCACGAAGGUUGGCUAAUCCUGGUCGGACAUCAGGAGGUUAGUGCAAUGGCAUAAGCCAGCUUGACUGCGAGCGUGACGGCGCGAGCAGGUGCGAAAGCAGGUCAUAGUGAUCCGGUGGUUCUGAAUGGAAGGGCCAUCGCUCAACGGAUAAAAGGUACUCCGGGGAUAACAGGCUGAUACCGCCCAAGAGUUCAUAUCGACGGCGGUGUUUGGCACCUCGAUGUCGGCUCAUCACAUCCUGGGGCUGAAGUAGGUCCCAAGGGUAUGGCUGUUCGCCAUUUAAAGUGGUACGCGAGCUGGGUUUAGAACGUCGUGAGACAGUUCGGUCCCUAUCUGCCGUGGGCGCUGGAGAAUUGAGGGGGGCUGCUCCUAGUACGAGAGGACCGGAGUGGACGCAUCACUGGUGUUCGGGUUGUCAUGCCAAUGGCACUGCCCGGUAGCUAAAUGCGGAAGAGAUAAGUGCUGAAAGCAUCUAAGCACGAAACUUGCCCCGAGAUGAGUUCUCCCUGAGACUUUAAGUCUCCUGAAGGAACGUUGAAGACGACGACGUUGAUAGGUCGGGUGUGUAAGCGCAGCGAUGCGUUGAGCUAACCGAUACUAAUGAACCGUGAGGCUUAACCUUACAACGCCGAAGGUGUUU